CAACCAUCUUUCCUGUGAAAAAUUCCCUCUCGUACUUUAGUUCUGUGGAUCCAAAAUUUAUAGCAUUCUUCUACCACCACAGGGGCUCAUAUGACAUUAACAGACAAGACACUUUUCAGAAAGACAGGUAAGUCAUUUGUUAAAAUCUCACUACUGUUGUUUAACAGAAACAUAUAUAUGCAUGUAUAUGUGUGUACUGUAUGGAAAAAGUGGAAUUAGAGUUUAUCUAGAAAAGAAAAAAUUACCUCAUCUAAGUGCAGAAAUGAAUAAUACUUAAACCAUACCAUACAAUUCUCUAUCAUAUUUCCACAGAUAAGUCAAAAAUUUAAAAAAUCUUAUUGUUCAUGCAUAAAUGCAGAAAACAAUACCUCUAGUAUAUGUUUGUGUUCUAUUGUACUUUCACAGAAGGUGUUUGAUACUUAAUACUGUGUUUAUUAAGAAAAAUCUUUGCAAUGGUUAUGGAAUUAAAAUUUCAUGUAAAAAUGAUUAUGUAGAUCAAGAAAAGUUGCAAUUUUCUGGAUUCCUGAUAUUUUAAAUAAAAGUAGUUUCCAAAGG
rnacentral:lncRNA from 1 species